CCUACGGGGGGCAGCAGUGAGGGAUAUUGCGCAAUGGGCGAAAGCCUGACGCAGCGACGCCGCGUGGGCGAGGAAGGCCUUCGGGUUGUAAAGCCCUUUUGGCAGGGAAGAGCAAGGACUGUACCUGCAGAACAAGUCACGGCUAACUACGUGCCAGCAGCCGCGGUAAAACGUAGGUGGCGAGCGUUAUCCGGAAUCACUGGGCGUAAAGAGCGCGUAGGCGGUUUGAUAAGUCAUGGGUGAAAGCCCUCAGCUCAACUGAGUUUACGCCCUGGAAACUGUCUGACUUGAGUUUAGGAGAGGAGAGCGAAAUUCCCAGUGUAGCGGUGAAAUGCGUAGAUAUUGGGAGGA
rnacentral:rRNA from 1 species